UCCUCCGGGUGCUCUCGCUCUAGAGCAGCGGUUUCCUAAACCGUGUGUCGCAGGUUCGAUUCCUGCCGGGGGCA
rnacentral:tRNA from 1 species